rnacentral:rRNA from 1 species
CCGGUGAAUACGUUCCCGGGCCUUGUACACACCGCCCGUCAAGCCACGGAAGCUGGGGGUGCCUGAAGUCGGUGACCGCAAGGAGCUGCCUAGGGUAAAACCGGUAACUAGGGCU